UACAGAGGUCUCAAGCGUUGUUCGGAUUCAUUGGGCGUAAAGGGUGCGUAGGUGGCGGGGUAAGUCCGGUGUGAAAUCUCGGAGCUCAACUCCGAAACUGCACUUGAUACUGCCUUGCUGGAGUACUGGAGAGGAGAUUGGAAUUUACGGUGUAGCAGUGAAAUGCGUAGAUAUCGUAAGGAAGACCAGUGGCGAAGGCGAAUCUCUGGACAGUUACUGACACUGAGGCACGAAGGCCAGGGGAGCAAACGGG
rnacentral:rRNA from 1 species